UACGGAGGGUGCAAGCGUUAUCCGGAUUCACUGGGUUUAAAGGGUGCGUAGGUGGGCAAGUAAGUCAGUGGUGAAAUCUCCGGGCUUAACCCGGAAACUGCCAUUGAUACUAUUUGUCUUGAAUACUGUGGAGGUCAGCGGAAUAUGUCAUGUAGCGGUGAAAUGCUUAGAUAUGACAUAGAACACCGAUAGCGAAGGCAGCUUGCUACACAGUCAUUGACACUGAGGCACGAAAGCGUGGGGAGCAAACAGG
rnacentral:rRNA from 1 species